rnacentral:rRNA from 1 species
GGGCCCGCACAAGCGGCGGAGCAUGCGGAUUAAUUCGAUGCAACGCGAAGAACCUUACCAAGGCUUGACAUAUAGAGGAAAAGUGCAGAAAUGCACUCCCCGCAAGGUCUCUAUACAGGUGGUGCAUGGUUGUCGUCAGCUCGUGUCGUGAGAUGUUGGGUUAAGUCCCGCAACGAGCGCAACCCUCGUCCUAUGUUGCCAGCACGUAAUGGUGGGAACUCUAAGGAGACUGCCGGUGAUAAACCGGAGGAAGGUGAGGACGACGUCAAAUCAUCAUGCCCCUUAUGUCUUGGGCUUCACGCAUGCUACAAUGGCCGGUACAGAGGGCUGCAAUACCGCAAGGUGGAGCGAA